UCGAGAAUCAUUCGCAAUGGGCGAAAGCCUGACGAUGCGACGCCGUGUGAACGAAGAAGGCCUUCGGGUUGUAAAGUUCUUUCGCCUGGGAACAAGAGAAGCUUGCUAAUAUCAAGCUAAUUUGAGGGUACCAAGUAAAGAAGCACCGGCUAACUCCGUGCCAGCAGCUGCGGUAAUACGGAGGGUGCAAGCAUUAAUCGGAAUUAUUGGGCGUAUAGGGCGUGUAGGCGGGAAUGAAAGUCAGACGUGAAAUCCCGAGGCUCAACCUCGGAACUGCGUUUGAAACUCCAUUUCUAGAGGAUAGGCGGAGAAAGCGGAAUUCCACAAGUAGCGGUGAAAUGCGUAGAUAUGUGGAAGAACACCUGUGGCGAAAGCGGCUUUCUAGCUUAUACCUGACGCUGAGGCGCGAAAGCAAGGGGAGCAAACAGG
rnacentral:rRNA from 1 species